UUUAUAUAGUUUAAAAAAACAUUAUAUUUUCACUAUAAAAAUAAACAAAUUGUUUUAUAAAUAU
rnacentral:tRNA from 6 species